rnacentral:rRNA from 1 species
UAUUAUUAUUUGGCAUCAUUUAAUAAUUAAAACUCCGGUGGUUAUAGAUGAGCAUGCGUUCUAUUAGUUUGUUGGUGAGGUAAAAGCUCACCAAGACUACGAUAGAUAGGGGGCCUGAAAGGGUGAUCCCCCACACUGGUACUGAGACACGGACCAGACUCCUACGGGAGGCAGCAGUGGGGAAUAUUGCGCAAUGGAGGAAACUCUGACGCAGCCAUGCCGCGUGCAGGAUGACGGCCCUAGAGGUUGUAAACUGCUUUUAUAUGGGAAGAAACCCCCGGACGUGUCCGGGGCUGACGGUACCAUACGAAUAAGGACCGGCUAACUCCGUGCCAGCAGCCGCGGUAAUACGGAGGGUCCAAGCGUUAUCCGGAUUUAUUGGGUUUAAAGGGUCCGUAGGCGGGACAUUAAGUCAGUGGUGAAAUCUCGAGGCUCAACCUCGAAACUGCCUCUGAAACUGAUGUUCUUGAAUAUAGUUGAAGUGGGCGGAAUGUGUAGUGUAGCGGUGAAAUGCAUAGAUAUUACACAGAAUACCAAUUGCGAAGGCAGAUCACUAACACUAUAUUGACGCUGAGGGACGAAAGCGUGGGGUGGGAACAGGAUUAGAUACCCUGGUAGUCCACGCCGUAAACGAUGGAUACUAGCUGUUCGAUCUUCGGAUUGAGUGGCUAAGCGAAAGUGAUAAGUGACCCACCUGGGGAGUACGUUCGCAAGAAUGAAACUCAAAGGAAUUGACGGGGGCCCGCACAAGCGGUGGAGCAUGUGGUUUAAUUCGAUGCAACGCGAAGAACCUUACCUGCCUUUGACAUCCUCGGAACGGUCCGGAAACGGACUGGUGCCUUCGGGAACCGAGAGACAGGUGCUGCAUGGCUGUCGUCAGCUCGUGUCGUGAGAUGUUGGGUUAAGUCCCGUAACGAGCGCAACCCCUAUCCUUAGUUGCCAGCGAGUAAUGUCGGGAACUCUAGGGAGACUGCCGGUGACAAACCGGAGGAAGGUGGGGACGACGUCAAGUCAUCAUGGCCCUUAUGGGCAGGGCUACACACGUGCUACAAUGGCCGGUACAGAGGGCAGCGAUGUCGCAAGGCGGAGCAAAUCUCAGAAAACCGGUCGUAGUCCGGAUUGCAGUCUGCAACUCGACUGCAUGAAGUUGGAAUCGCUAGUAAUCGCGGAUCAGAAUGCCGCGGUGAAUACGUUCCCGGGCCUUGUACACACCGCCCGUCACACCAUGGAAGUCAGUUAGUCCAGAAGUGCUUGAGCUAACCCUUCGGGGAGGCAGGGCCCCAAGGAGUGGCUGGUAACUGGGGUGAAGUCGUAACAAGGUAGCCGUAGGGGAACCUGCGGCUG